rnacentral:rRNA from 1 species
AAAUUGAAGAGUUUGAUCAUGGCUCAGAUUGAACGCUGGCGGCAGGCCUAACACAUGCAAGUCGAACGGUAACAGGAAGCAGCUUGCUGCUUUGCUGACGAGUGGCGGACGGGUGAGUAAUGUCUGGGAAACUGCCUGAUGGAGGGGGAUAACUACUGGAAACGGUGGCUAAUACCGCAUAACGUCGCAAGACCAAAGAGGGGGACCUUCGGGCCUCUUGCCAUCAGAUGUGCCCAGAUGGGAUUAGCUUGUUGGUGAGGUAACGGCUCACCAAGGCGACGAUCCCUAGCUGGUCUGAGAGGAUGACCAGCCACACUGGAACUGAGACACGGUCCAGACUCCUACGGGAGGCAGCAGUGGGGAAUAUUGCACAAUGGGCGCAAGCCUGAUGCAGCCAUGCCGCGUGUAUGAAGAAGGCCUUCGGGUUGUAAAGUACUUUCAGCGGGGAGGAAGGUGUUGCGGUUAAUAACCGCAGCAAUUGACGUUACCCGCAGAAGAAGCACCGGCUAACUCCGUGCCAGCAGCCGCGGUAAUACGGAGGGUGCAAGCGUUAAUCGGAAUUACUGGGCGUAAAGCGCACGCAGGCGGUCUGUCAAGUCGGAUGUGAAAUCCCCGGGCUCAACCUGGGAACUGCAUUCGAAACUGGCAGGCUUGAGUCUUGUAGAGGGGGGUAGAAUUCCAGGUGUAGCGGUGAAAUGCGUAGAGAUCUGGAGGAAUACCGGUGGCGAAGGCGGCCCCCUGGACAAAGACUGACGCUCAGGUGCGAAAGCGUGGGGAGCAAACAGGAUUAGAUACCCUGGUAGUCCACGCCGUAAACGAUGUCUACUUGGAGGUUGUGCCCUUGAGGCGUGGCUUCCGGAGCUAACGCGUUAAGUAGACCGCCUGGGGAGUACGGCCGCAAGGUUAAAACUCAAAUGAAUUGACGGGGGCCCGCACAAGCGGUGGAGCAUGUGGUUUAAUUCGAUGCAACGCGAAGAACCUUACCUGGUCUUGACAUCCACGGAAGUUUUCAGAGAUGAGAAUGUGCCUUCGGGAACCGUGAGACA